rnacentral:tmRNA from 1 species
GGGAACGAAUUGGAUUCGACCGGGCAGAUGAAACGUGCGUCGCGUAUCGAGGUUGGUCUGAGGGCCUCGUAAAAAUCAGACUAACACACAAUUGCCAACAAUAACAUGGCUUUGGCUGCCUAGUAAAGGCUGCCCUUGCUGAGGAGGCUCGCCGAAGGCGUCCGACUGCAAGCUGUAAUUUCGGAUCGUUUUCCGUCGCUGGCAGGCACGCGGAUUACUAAAUUUUGCUCCCGCCUGGUUCCAAAGGAAGGCUGUCGUUGGUCGUCCGAGGAACAAGACUCAAAAUAACGACUACAUACGUAGAAGCGCCCGCGGACUCGUCGCGGGACGGGGGUUCAAUUCCCCCCGUUUCCAU